GCAAGUCGAACGCUUUUUCUUUCACCGGAGCUUGCUCCACCGAAAGAAAAAGAGUGGCGAACGGGUGAGUAACACGUGGGUAACCUGCCCAUCAGAAGGGGAUAACACUUGGAAACAGGUGCUAAUACCGUAUAACACUAUUUUCCGCAUGGAAGAAAGUUGAAAGGCGCUUUUGCGUCACUGAUGGAUGGACCCGCGGUGCAUUAGCUAGUUGGUGAGGUAACGGCUCACCAAGGCCACGAUGCAUAGCCGACCUGAGAGGGUGAUCGGCCACACUGGGACUGAGACACGGCCCAGACUCCUACGGGAGGCAGCAGUAGGGAAUCUUCGGCAAUGGACGAAAGUCUGACCGAGCAACGCCGCGUGAGUGAAGAAGGUUUUCGGAUCGUAAAACUCUGUUGUUAGAGAAGAACAAGGAUGAGAGUAGAACGUUCAUCCCUUGACGGUAUCUAACCAGAAAGCCACGGCUAACUACGUGCCAGCAGCCGCGGUAAUACGUAGGUGGCAAGCGUUGUCCGGAUUUAUUGGGCGUAAAGCGAGCGCAGGCGGUUUCUUAAGUCUGAUGUGAAAGCCCCCGGCUCAACCGGGGAGGGUCAUUGGAAACUGGGAGACUUGAGUGCAGAAGAGGAGAGUGGAAUUCCAUGUGUAGCGGUGAAAUGCGUAGAUAUAUGGAGGAACACCAGUGGCGAAGGCGGCUCUCUGGUCUGUAACUGACGCUGAGGCUCGAAAGCGUGGGGAGC
rnacentral:rRNA from 1 species